AGAGUUUGAUCAUGGCUACAGAACGAACGCUGGCGGCAUGCCUAACACAUGCAAGUCGAACGAAGCCUUCGGGCUUAGUGGCGCACGGGUGCGUAACACGUGGGAAUCUGCCCUUCGGUUCGGAAUAACAGUCAGAAAUGACUGCUAAUACCGGAUGAUGACGUAAGUCCAAAGAUUUAUCGCCGAAGGAUGAGCCCGCGUAGGAUUAGGUAGUUGGUAGGGUAAUGGCCUACCAAGCCGACGAUCCUUAGCUGGUCUGAGAGGAUGAUCAGCCACACUGGGACUGAGACACGGCCCAGACUCCUACGGGAGGCAGCAGUGGGGAAUAUUGGACAAUGGGCGAAAGCCUGAUCCAGCAAUGCCGCGUGAGUGAUGAAGGCCUUAGGGUUGUAAAGCUCUUUUACCAGGGAUGAUAAUGACAGUACCUGGAGAAUAAGCUCCGGCUAACUCCGUG
rnacentral:rRNA from 1 species